rnacentral:lncRNA from 1 species
GGAGUUGAACUAUAUGCUUACCCUUCCUGGUUCUUACCAAGUGCUUGGUAGUUCGUUAUUUUGCUGCUUACAUUUGCUUUAGGUUUCACCAUUGUCAUCUAUGAAUUGAUUGAUAUUUUUUUUGUAUCAUACAUUUUCAUGAAUCCUCCAUGCUAAAAGUGGUGUAAUAAUGUAGAAAAAGAAUCACAUAAUUUGGAAUUAAAGUCGUUGCUGAUCGCUGUUUUGAUGCAAAAUAUAUGGUACGAUAUGCCGUGCAAGGAAGUUAAUCCACAAAAAGAGCAUUAAAUUGUAAAGCUACCAAAACAAGAAAAGACUUAUCUGAACUCUUCCUUCAACAACCAUUCUUUUUCAAGCUCUUCCUCCAGUUUUCUCUGCAGAAGAUCCAGUUCUGCAUCAGUAGUAGUCUCACAUCUAGCUUCCUCUGUUUUUUGCUUGCAUGCAUCAAUUUUUUCCUGAUAAUUUGAUUCAUCUAAGCACAGGUCAAAUGCAUAAUACAAUAAAUAGGAUCUGCUCAUACUCCAUAACAUGAACAUUAACUAGUGGAAAAAGGGUAGAGUUUGUAGUGGAGUUCUUUUAGUUCGUAAUAGACGGCAUGCCAUACUUAAGCUACUUCCACGCGAACCACAAGGAAACUUUCCAGCAGCAUCUUUCCAUUUUCCAUUAUCAUUCCUUCUGCACUAAAACUAAAUAACUCAAAAAGAUGAUAAUGGAAAAUACCAUGCUUCAAACUUCCACUCCAUUGUUUUUUUAAUUUUGGUACAACAUCAUUUUUAACUUCAAUUAUAUUAAAUUAUUCAACAUGUUCACAAACCAACCCCAAACAAUACAUUAGCAAUGUACAUAAAACUACACCCCCGUGGGGAUCAAAUCACACAAUAGAUAAAGACUCUCAGCAACAACAAAGAACGAACAGUUUUUAACUAUGGUCCACAACCAUGUCACAACCACAAUUGCAGCAACAUUUUUCCACGAGUAUGGUAAAUGCAACAUAAUAGGACACUAAUUGAAAGCUCUAUAAUGUUGCUUCAGAAAUCAAUCUUGAGGAUUAGAUAUCAGCCAGGAGAGUAUUCAUUUUUUUUAUGAUGAUUGAUAAUAAAAGUUUAGAAUAUUCUUUCUCUCUGUCAAUUUCUCUACAUAGAUUUUCCUAAACCCAUAUCUAUCACAAAGACACUACAGAAAAUAGACUAUAAUGGGAAAACAAUAAUCAACAAAAUAAGCAUAAAAAUCACAAAAAAUGAAAACAUUAAUACAAAAUAUUAAAUUCCUACAUUUAUUUUUAAACAACAUAGAAGCAGAAAAAAACACAAAAUUCAUUCUAAAAUCCCCAAAUUUCGGCACGUUACUAAUUUCAUUUUAAAAAUUGAAAGAAUAACCAAGCAAAAAGUGAAAAGGACCUUGAAGCAAUUUGUGAAGGGGAUUGAAAUCGGAGUGGAAUGUUGAAGAGAGUGAAAUGGUGCGUUGCAGAGUGUGAAUUAGGUUAUUGAUGUCACGCUUGUGUUGCAAUAGCUUAACGACGUCGUUGGUGUAAGAGAUGAGGUUUCCCACGUCCAUGUUUGUUGACAACAAUUCCCCAUUUGUCCAAUAACUUUCCGAGGGAGGAAACUUUUCCUCUAUUUCAUAGUCAUACUAGUAGGAGACCCAUGUGAUUCUUUUGCAUAAAUUUAAGAAUUAUGUGACUAAACAUAGAUGGAAAAUAACAUGGAGAAUGUGACUAAAGA